rnacentral:rRNA from 1 species
GUGGGGAAUCUUGCGCAAUGGGCGAAAGCCUGACGCAGCCAUGCCGCGUGAAUGAUGAAGGUCUUAGGAUUGUAAAAUUCUUUCACCGGGGACGAUAAUGACGGUACCCGGAGAAGAAGCUCCGGCUAACUUCGUGCCAGCAGCCGCGGUAAUACGAAGGGGGCUAGCGUUGCUCGGAAUUACUGGGCGUAAAGGGCGCGUAGGCGGACAGCUUAGUCAGAGGUGAAAGCGUAGGGCUCAACCUUGGAAUUGCCUUUGAUACUGGCUGUCUUGAGUUUGGGAGAGGUGAGUGGAACUCCGAGUGUAGAGGUGAAAUUCGUAGAUAUUCGGAAGAACACCAGUGGCGAAGGCGACUCACUGGCCCAAUACUGACGCUGAGGCGCGAAAGCGUGGGGAGCAAACAGGAUUAGAAACCCUAGUAGUCC